AUGCUGGAUCUGCAUGAUGACACAAGUUGUGUGUCAGAUGUAGGCCUACGUUACAAUGAUAUAACUGUGAUAGUCGAUGUAAGUGAGGAAAGUGUGGCGUCAGAUGUCCAUGAUACUGUGGUUAGUGAUCAUGUUUAUGCUUGGACACCCCUUGUUCCUGAAAACAACUACUGUAGGCUACUGACGUCACCAGGCAACGUUCCCACACCUCAGCUGAGCAAUGAGGAUCAAAAUCCAAUACCGACAAACCCACGCUCUAUCCCAGUUUGCCUGCAUUUUUUUGUCUUCAUUGGCCUGGCCGCUGCUGAUUCCUUGCCUCUACCAGAGAGCUACCUGCCUAACUAUAGUGGAGCUGCAGGCUGCAUCACUAGGCGACGUUCCCACACUUCAGAUGAGCAGAGGAUCCAAUACGACAAACCAUGCAGCAGAUCCUCAAUGGUAUAGUGUCUUGGUUAAAUACAAAGACUCCUUUACAUUUGAAUUGACAAUGGUGCUUGUGUGCAUCUAAGAUGUUUUAUAAGCGGCAUGAUUAGAGGCAUAACCAUAUGGCUUUGGAAGUAUAGGAGAAACUAUUGUUAAUGCUAUCUAUCAAUCUUGCAUACUGUUUUCUGAAAGUUAUUUCAAAACAUUUUACUGCAGUGGCCUAAGUCAGGGUCACACAGUGUUUCUUGAUAGUCUUAAACAAAUAUACUUUGAAACAAAAGUACACACCUCACACACAUGGUUAUGGGCUUAAAACAAGACACCUCUAACGUGUCAGUUAUAGAGUUGAAAUGCAUUACAUUUUGAGUGCAUCCCAAUAUUACACUUUAUACAUCAGAGAAGACUGAAAUAUAACAAUCGCUUGACAUAGAAACAACUGAUUUUUGGCAUUACCUUUUAUUUUAUUCAUUAUGAUAUUGUGAAAAAUAUUAAUAACAUUCCACCCAUGAGGCCACUAGAGGGCGAUUUGGUAAUUUGCCUGCAGGAAACUUUUGUUGGUCCUUUUCCUACAGAAAAUAAUCCAACUCUUAACACUGAUUUGGACUACCUGUUUAUUUCAAAGCACCCACACUGAUGAAAGUGACCUUAUGGAAUUCCUAGAUAUUGUCACACCCUGAUCUGUUUCACCUGUCUUUGUGCUUGUUUCCACCCUGUGUUCUCUGUUGGUCUGUUGCCAGUUCAUCUUGUCAGGUUUUACCAGCGAGUUUUCCCAUCUCCCUGCUUUAUCAAGUUCUGGUUCUGACUGUUCUGCCUGCCCUGACCCCGAGCCUGCCUGCUGUUCUGUACCUGCCUGACUGUGACCCAUUUACGAACCUCUGCCUACCCUGACCCUCCCUACUGUUCAGUACCUUAUACACCCUGCCCUGGAUUACGGACCUCUGCCUGCCUUUGACCUGUCUUUUGCAUUCCCCCUGUUUGGGUCAAUAAACAUCUCUAGCUGUCUGCAUCUGGGUCUUAUCCUGAGGUAAUGGCAGACUUGGACCAGCUCCACAAUGCUGUCUCCCUUCAAGGAGCCACCAUUGGAAGACACGAGGAGUUACUGCAAUGCCUUUAUGGAAGGACUCCAUACCCUGGCAGAACGCCAUGAUCAGGCAUUCGAUACAAUUCUGCGGAUUUUCUACUGGGCAGUGGGUCACACCAGUAAUUUCCCAGCCUACCCCAGUGUCCCGAGAACCCGAAAGGAGGCAAGUCGGCAGCACUCGGUGACGUCGGGUUCAUGCGGACAUGUAGACUUUGGGGGUUUCCAGGAUUCUUCAGAGGCGAGGUGGGAAUCGAGGGUGAAUGAAAAUGACAGGGCACAGAUUCCUUCUCCAUCCUACGUUCUCGAAGCCACCCAUCGAUCCAGACAGUCAAAGUCCAUGGGCAGCUCCCAGGCUCAUCUUUGAUCACCUCUGAUAAUCCAUGAAGGAACAUGUUGAACAAUGCUUCCACGUUCCAGGCACUCUCAGCCGCCAACAUGGUAAAAUCCACCGCGUAGUCUGCCACACUACGGGAGUCUUGACGUAGCUGGAGCAGCCUCUCUCCUGGACAACAAAGAAUCAAACACCUCCUGAACUUCUGCCACGAACCUCUCUAGACUGAGCCAGACAGCAGACUACUCCCACACCGCCGUAGCCCAGGCUCCCUCCCUCUCGGACAUCCUCGUUAUGAUGUACGCCAUCCUCGAGCGGUCCGAGGGGAAUGAAGAAGGCUGCAGCUCAAAAAUGAGGGAGCACUGGGAGAGAAAAGCCCGUCAGGUUCCAGAAUCAAGAAGGGGCGAGUACCCUGGUGGGCCAUACGGUGAACUUUUCCUCUUC
rnacentral:lncRNA from 1 species